GAUGAAGAACGUAGCGAAAUGCGAUAAGUAAUGUGAAUUGCAGAAUUCAGUGAAUCAUCGAAUCUUUGAACGCACAUUGCGCCCGUCAGUAUUCUGGCGGGCAUGCCUGUUCGAGCGUCAUUACGCCCCUCAAGUCCCCUGUGGACUUGGUGUUGGGGAUCGGCGAGGCUGGUUUUCCAGCACAGCCGUCCCUUAAAUUAAUUGGCGGUCUCGCCGUGGCCCUCCUCUGCGCAGUAGUAAAACACUCGCAACAGGAGCCCGGCGCGGUCCACUGCCGUAAAACCCCCCAACUUUUUAUAGUUGACCUCGAAUCAGGCAGGACUACCCGCUGAACUUAAGCAUAUCAAUAAGCGGAGGA
rnacentral:misc_RNA from 1 species